rnacentral:rRNA from 1 species
GACGGAGGGCGCAAGCGUUGUUCGGAAUUACUGGGCGUAAAGAGCGUGUAGGCGGUCUGAUAAGUCGAGUGUGAAAGCCCGAGGCUCAACUUCGGAAGUGCACUCGAAACUGCCAGGCUUGAGUACGGGAGAGGGAAGUGGAAGUCCUGGUGUAGAGGUGAAAUUCGUAGAUAUCAGGAGGAACACCGGUGGCGAAGGCGGCUUCCUGGACCGAUACUGACGCUGAGACGCGAAAGCGUGGGGAGCAAACAGG